AUCAUGGCUCAGGACGAACGCUGGCGGCGUGCCUAAUACAUGCAAGUCGACGCUUCUUUUUCCACCGGAGCUUGCUCCACAAAAAGAGAGUGGCGAACGGGUGAGUAACACGUGGGUAACCUGCCCAUCAGAAGGGGAUAACACUUGGAAACAGGUGCUAAUACCGAUAACAAUCAAACCGCAUGGUUUUGAUUUGAAAGGCGCUUUCGGGUGUCGCUGAUGGAUGGACCCGCGGUGCAUUAGCUAGUUGGUGAGGUAACGGCUCACCAAGGCCACGAUGCAUAGCCGACCUGAGAGGGUGAUCGGCCACAUUGGGACUGAGACACGGCCCAAACUCCUACGGGAGGCAGCAGUAGGGAAUCUUCGGCAAUGGACGAAAGUCUGACCGAGCAACGCCGCGUGAGUGAAGAAGGUUUUCGGAUCGUAAAACUUCUGUUGUUAGAGAAGAACCAAGGAGAGAGUAACUGUUCAUUCCCCUGACGGUCACGAAGCCA
rnacentral:rRNA from 1 species